GGGGUUGUGGCUCAGAGGUAAAGCGCUUGCCUAGCAUGCAUGAAGCAUUGGGUUCAAACCUCAGCACCA
rnacentral:tRNA from 1 species